AAAGCAACGCGUCUGUGUGCUGCAACGCCACCUCGAUUUUCGCCGUGUCACGACGAGGGAAUCCCACGGCUGCAAAGACUGAAUUCAGCUGGUCUAAGUUAAGUCCUUCUGUUGUUCGACGGAGAAGAAAGCCUCUGGAUUCGAGAUCUUCGUCGCUGAUUGAGUAACUUGGUGGCUUUCGUUGCAUUGCAGCUGGAAACGUCGCUUGUGAUGAUGAUUGUGUGACUGCGUUUUGUGGGUUUAAUGUGGACCUUAACCGGAGAGAAGCUGGAGGAGUGGAGAUUGUGCCUCCGAGAAACAUGGUAUACACUAUUUUUUGUUCAAGUGUUGAAUUUUAGGAGCUCGAUUACAUGGAAUCAGACAAAAGGAUGGUUUUUUAGUUUCCCUGAAUUUGGAUAAAGUGUGUGUUUUGUGUGUGGCUGUGGAUAAACGGAGAACCUCUCUAGUCUCUCUAGCUUUUACUUUUCUGUUUUUUGGAGGAAAUAAAAUAAAAUCGGUACGAAGAAACUCGUGGCUGUCAGAGACUAUUGUCGUUUGGUAGUUGAGAGUCAAAGAGAUACUCUUUUGGCGGGCAAUGUAGUAGCUUCAAACGAAUCCAGAAAUGGAGUGAACAAAACCUGAAUAACUUAUAUUUUUUUGUGUUUUACUUCAGUGAUUUUCCUUGUUGUGUGAUUUUUUUAGUUCUUCACAAUGGUUCUAGUGGUUAAUCAAGAUUUGAUCAUUGAGUGAUGCAAACAAGCAGUUAGUGAUUGUUCUUGUGCUGUUUUAUGUUUACCAUGUUUGAAGGUCUCUGGCAUGUGAUCAGCAGAGGAUGAGUGAUUCUUUUCUAUAUGUUUGCUGCAUUCUUUCUUGCUCAUCAAAGAUUUUUAGAGCCACAGAGCAUUUAAGUAUCUCUCCUGCAAUUCAGGAAUGGUAUCCAUUUCUUGAUCUCGGAGGUUCCAUUGCUUUGUUUCUCCUAUCUAUCUGCCUAUUCAAAGAUGGUUUUAAGGAUUGUAUAAGUUUUGAUUAAUGACUGAGUUUGUUUCUUAUUUGAAAAUUGAAAUUAUCAUCUGAUAGAUAUAUCAUGCAUAUUUUAUGGUAUUGUUUAUAUAUUCAAAAGCAACCAAACUAGAAUAAACAGUGGCAUAUGGCUAGUCCAAGACUCUGAUUCAUUGCAGCUUGUUCUAACUACCGAACGUGCACAUCUUCAUUGCCAUUGUAACUACGUUUGUCUUCUGUUCUGUAGCUUGUAACUAGCAGGAAUGGAACGUGCACAUGCUAUUGUUGACAGAAAUGCUGGUUCUUCGCCUUUACUCGCUGAACUCGUCUGGUCCUUCAAUCUUCGUGAAGGUUGGGACGGCCCAUCUUUCGUUUUCUGUCUAUCUGUUUAUUGCUCCUACGUGCAUUAUGAUGGAUUGGAGAUUACAAAAGUCGAAAGCGACCUGAGAAUAACAUCAACGUGAGGGUCUUCCUCUUCUGGAAAGUUGCCAGCUAUGUUCUUUUCUGCUCCCAUUUAUUGUGCCUCAUUAAGCUUAAUACGUUGCAUUUACAAUGAUUAUCUAAACCUCAAUUGAUAUAUUCACCAUCUUUUUUGUUUUCCAGGAUCAAAACCUGAUCUUGUUAUAUCAAAGGGUUGAUAAAGCUAUCGGUUCAAUUGCGCUUAUCAGGAUAUGCUCUGUUUUGUGUUAGAAGGAAGUCUCUGAAGAACAAGGUACAUAUUAUAUAACAGGGUUCCAACGGAGAACCGUGCAGAUAACUUAUUUGGGACAGCUUCUACAAAAAAACAUAUUCCGGCAAAAGAAAACAAUGCAACUACCUACACAUGGCUUAUUAAAGGCAAACAACACGAUUGGUAGACUUGUUUAGAACCAUUCUUCCUAGCUGCAUGUUUGUUGAUGUGCUUUGGAAGCUGAUUGCUAGGCCCCGAGGAUGCAUCAGAAGCCAUGGAAUCAUCACUCUCUUCAUCACCACCAUCAUCACUAGUAUCGCCAUCAUCGUUCUCAUAACCAUCAUCAGCCUCUUUAACCUGUGUAUCAUCAUCAUCAUCAUCGACAACAACAGAUGAUUGGUCAUUUCCAUGGAAGGCGUCUUCUAUGUACAUAGUCCACCCUGACUCACAACUGCUGUAUUCCUCCUCUUCAGAGCCUCCAUGGUUUCUCGGAGACUCCAUGGCUUCACGCAACAGAAAGAGGAAAACAAAACCAAGUAUCAAGAAAAGCCGGAGCCUAUAGGAAGCCUCAUAUAAUUGAAGAGAAGGAGUAAGUUUCACCACAUGGCAACCCUAGCACCAUUGUUUUCACUCAAUUGAAGCACUACCAGACAAAGCUCAUUGCAGAUAUAUAUCAAGGGAAGGAAGGUUAGUGCCUCCCUUCAUUAUAAAGUACACUCUCUUAUAGAAUUAAAAGCCUAUGCUCUUCUUUUUCAAUAUCAACUAACUAUACUUUUCUUUAAACAAAUAUUUUGGUUCCUAACAAACCAUAAUCUAGUCUUAGAGUCAGGACACAUCAAUAUCCACAGAACAAGAAUCAUCCUUGUAAGCUCUGUCAUUAGUUAUAUGACUUCUUAAUUGAUAUGUGAAGUUAUAAGUUAUCUCUAUCUCUCUCUCUCUUCUCUUCUCUCUAUGUAUGACUCUGGCUAUCUUAAAUAGAAAAGAUCAGCUUUUGAGGUGGAAAUCAGAAGAGACCCACAUGAACAAACAAGAAGGAAUAAAAGAAGCAUUUACUUAAUUAGGUUAAGAGCUGUUCCUCUUUCUCAUUCCUUUAAUACUCUUCUUCAUCCUCCAAUCCUCUCUCAUUGUCUUUAAAAUUGUUGCAGCCUUUUACUUCAUCUCUCAUUGUAUUGAAAAGGUUUACACAACUGGAUUUUGUUUGUCAUUUUUGUUUUAAAAGAUAAGGACAAAACAAAAAGAAGUAAACAACUGUCACAAACCCCAAAAUAAAAGUAAAAGACAGAAUUUGCAAAUUACAAGAAUAAAUUGUCUUCAUUGCGUUUCCUGUUUCUCUGGCGUCACCUUAAAAUGUUCUUUCAGUGGAGGCCCUCUUGGUGACAGCUUGCAAAUCAAGUGUGUGAUGAGAGUUCAUUUUACAAAAGGGUUGUUUUGUUUUGACUUUGACUCUUGUUUGAAUAUUGUGUAAACAAAGAUAUUAAGACAUUAUACAUUAGUUUGACUCUACUUUUAAUAAUGUAUCAGCUUUGUGUGCUUUUAAGACAUUUUCGAGUCUCAUAGAAUUUGAAAGUGGGCGUGUAGAAUUUGGAGAGAUGUGUACAAAUCGUUAAUAGCUAAAAAGAAUGGAGUUGGACUCGUUGGAUUUACUCGUGUGUCUCUUUCUACAAUUGCCCUAUGUGUGUGUGUGUGACUGUGGAAUGUCACUGUACGUCACUGUUAAGUAUCACCGAUUCAUUUAUUUAUUUUGAAGUUUAAUUUGACAAGUCACAGAUUCGAAAGCAUCAUCGGGACAAUGGCUUGACCUCAUUGAUAAUUUUGGUUGGCAAGUCGGUGAGACUAAGGAUGGAACUUGAUAACAAGUGAAUUAGUUUUUAAAUCGAUAUUCAU
rnacentral:lncRNA from 1 species